rnacentral:rRNA from 1 species
ACGUAGGUGGCAAGCGUUGUCCGGAAUUACUGGGUGUAAAGGGAGCGUAGGCGGGAAGACAAGUUGGGAGUGAAAUGUAUGGGCUUAACCCAUAAACUGCUUUCAAAACUGUUUUUCUUGAGUGAAGUAGAGGCAGGCGGAAUUCCUAGUGUAGCGGUGAAAUGCGUAGAUAUUAGGAGGAACACCAGUGGCGAAGGCGGCCUGCUGGGCUUUAACUGACGCUGAGGCUCGAAAGCGUGGGUAGCAAACAG